UGUAAACGAUGUCGAUUUGGAGUUUGUUGCCUAGAGUGAUGGGCUCCGAAGCUAACGCGAUAAAUCGACCGCUGGGGAGUACGGCCGCAAGGUUAAAACUCAAAUGAAUUGACGGGGGCCCGCACAGCGGUGGAGCAUGUGGUUUAAUUCGAUGCAACGCGAAGAACCUUACCUGGUCUUGACAUCCAUAGAACUCUGCAGAGAUGUGGGAGUGCCUUCGGGAACUAUGAGACAGGUGCUGCAUGGCUGUCGUCAGCUCGUGUUGUGAAAUGUUGGGUUAAGUCCCGCAACGAGCGCAACCCUUAUUCUUUGUUGCCAGCGAUUUGGUCGGGAACUCAAAGGAGACUGCCGUUGAUAAAGCGGAGGAAGGUGGGGACGACGUCAAGUCAUCAUGGCCCUUACGACCAGGGCUACACACGUGCUACAAUGGCGUAUACAAAGGGAAGCGAAGGUGCGAGCUGGAGCGGAUCUCAUAAAGUACGUCUAAGUUCGGAUUGGAGUCUGCAACUCGACUCCAUGAAGUCGGAAUCGCUAGUAAUCGUAGACCAGAAUGCUACGGUGAAUACGUUCCCGGGCCUUGUACACACCGCCCGUCACACCAUGGGAGUGGGUUGCACCAGAAGUAGAUAGCUUAACCGCGAGGGGGGCGUUUACCACGGUGUGAUUCAUGACUGGGGUGAAGUCGUAACAAGGUAACCA
rnacentral:rRNA from 1 species